GUCCCCGUGCUCCGAUUUCUGUCGACCGUGGAACCAAUGGACAUCUUAAAAAUUUCGAAACUGCUUCUUAAUGACCCAUCCUGCAACUCAUGUCUGGAAACCGAGUUGAAGAUUCUUGAAUCAAAGUAUCCUAAAAAAUGACGUCCACCCUAUCUGUGUCCGAAUCCAACAACCUCUUCGGGGAAAAGGAUUUUCUUUAGUCUGAAAUAUUUCUUUGUAUUUUUUCUUGUUAAUUUUAACUUUUUUCAUAUGUAAAAAAUGAUAAAAUUUGAAAAAAACAAAACAAAAGAAUACAAAUUUACACUCCAGUUUCUGGAAAUGCAAAAUCAUGAUUUUUUAAAAAAAAUUUGUUCUACUCAAUCACUCUCUUUCUUUUCAGUGGACCUUACUAAAUUUUUCGAUACAUAUUAUCGAUUUGUGUUAAUCAUGUUGGUAAAUUUUCUAACUGCUGUAAACUGACAUAUGACAGGUAUCUUCGAAACUGACCGGAAGUUACUUCGAUGUCGUUCUCCUUCAUUUAUUUAUGCAUUCGUAAAUGUUGGUGACCGGGCUCAGCUUUACACAGUCAGGAAAUUAAAAACAUGGUUCUCAACGAUAGGCAGUGAGCAUCCACUGAAAUAUAUAAGCUGUGUUGUAGACUUCAACUGAAUUGUAAUUUAAUAAAAAGGUUACACAU
rnacentral:misc_RNA from 1 species